GUGCCAGCCGCCGCGGUAAUACGGAGGAUGCGAGCGUUAUCCGGAUUUAUUGGGUUUAAAGGGUGCGUAGGCGGAAUGGUAAGUCAGUGGUGAAAGUCUGCAGCUCAACUGUAGUUGUGCCAUUGAUACUGUCAUUCUUGAGUAUAGAUGAGGUAGGCGGAAUGAGUAGUGUAGCGGUGAAAUGCAUAGAUAUUACUCAGAACACCGAUUGCGAAGGCAGCUUACUAAACUAUAACUGACGCUGAGGCACGAAAGCGUGGGUAUCAAACAGGAUUAGAUACCCCAGUAGUCC
rnacentral:rRNA from 1 species